rnacentral:rRNA from 1 species
GACAGAGGGUGCAAGCGUUGUUCGGAAUUAUUGGGCGUAAAGCGCGUGUAGGCGGCUUUGCAAGUCGGGUGUGAAAGCCCUCAGCUCAACUGAGGAAGUGCGCCCGAAACUGCAGAGCUUGAGUGCCGGAGAGGGUGGCGGAAUUCCCCAAGUAGAGGUGAAAUUCGUAGAUAUGGGGAGGAACACCGGUGGCGAAGGCGGC